UUCAUUGUAUUUAAAAAAUUCUUAAUGCUUGCCUAGGGAUGUAAAGCAAUACAUCCUCAUACCUAUUUAGAAGUAACUGGUAAACUGGUUUCGGAUCUUUGAAGUGUAAAUUGCACAAAGCUGAACUAUCUCUAUGCUGUUAAUUUGAUGGUCUUUUGGUUGUCUACUAUUUUAAACGUUGAUGAGUUCCAUCUUGUUGGUUUACAUGAAUUAGAACCUCUCAGUUAAUAGACUUUGCUCAUCCAACCAAAGAACAUGGGCGCCUUGUUUUUGACUUAAGUUAAUAUACUUUGCAAGUGUUGCAGACCAUAUGCCAUUUUAAUCUCAUGCCAUGUCUUGUGGUUGAAGACUAAUUGUUCAUUAGCUGUUAUGAUUUCUUGCUUUCUUCUUCUUCUUCUCACUAAAACAUUAGCAACUUUCAAGAUUUGAUAUUUUUCCUAUUCCCCAAUCCCCAAUCUUUAAGCUUCUAUAUAUUUGGCUUCACUCUUUGCUAUCCUUUGUAUUAUGAUUGGUCAUUGAUGUUUUGUUGCUUUGCAGAGUUCCCCACUGUUGAAGAGCGUUAGAUAUUAAGAGCUGCAGGGCAUAUGCAAGGGGUUUGACCACCAUUAUCUUGAUUUCUUGAAUUGUAUAGGUGAUUAUUGUCUUUUAAUUUCAAUUUUCUUUGUAAGAUUGAUCAAAGCCUUCUCAGAGAGCUUUCAUUUGUGAAUGGCCAUUUCACUUGUUGCUGCUUGGAAUAAUUGAUAACUGCAUUGUGCAGGGCAGAAUAAUCAUGCCCUCUUCAUGGUUCUUCUAGUUGGGUUUCUUAGUACUGAAGCUUCUUCCAUAAUUUGCUCAUUCCAAUUUGCCAAAGGUUCUUAUCUCUUAGGUGGAAGCACUAGGUUCGAGUUAGGUCAUUCUAUUCUGAUUGGUCUGGCUGGAAGUUUGGUUACCAGUACAAUGCUAUUCACUUCUCCAAGUGCUAUGGCAGGUCUGGUUUGUUUUUGCUUAAUAUCCAAGUCCUUCAUUUUACUUGAAAGCCCAUCAGUAAAGUAUUUUAGGGAGGGUAAAAGGUGUUGAAGUAGCUUGCCAAUGCGUUCCAAAACCAGCAGGGCCUUGUGACAAGGGAUUGACAGAAACCAGAACUGAAACUAUACAUUGAGCCUGAAGUAGAUCGAUGCUAUAAAACCACUUGCAUUUUUCUAUUGUUUUGGAGGAACAAAAGUUUUGGAGAAGGAACCUGGCACAUCCAUGUCAUUUUCUUGAAGAAUUCUAACUUUGGAACCCAAAGGUAUCCUUAGGAACUCAAAGAGGAGGUCCACGACCAAUACCUCCCUGCCUCUGCAUAUAACACCUUUUUUGAAUGAUUGCCCACAAGGAGACUGCAAGCUUAUGCCGUUAGUUUCCUUUGCAGCAAUGGAGCGAGAAGCAGUUAGCUCUUCAUUAUGCAUGAUAUUUCCUGUAUUCCUAGUUUUUCCUUUGUUGUAAGACCUGGCCAAAGGGCUUCGAUUUGGAACAGACAGUUCAAGUUAAAUAUAUAGGGGACGAAACUAGAUUGUAGGGCAGUCCAGUUCGGUUUCAAUUUCAAUUUCAAUUUCUGUUCGGUUUUGAUUUUGAUUAAUUUCUUAAUGAGGUGAGCUCAUUAUUUGCAAUAAUCAAAAGGAGGAAAAUGAUAAGCUCUUUUGCUUUUCCUAAAUCAAAUGGGGAAUUAUAUCAUAAAUAUUAAAGAAUUAUAUGUCCAGCUCUUGCACAGGCUUCCAAACCGCCGGACAAUAUACGCAAAAAGUGAGAGAAAAGUAGAAUCUUUUAUCAUCGGCCUGCACUGACUCCGACUCUAUUAUUGCAUGCUCUGCCAAAAAUCACUGCCCCAUCUAUACAUUUAUGAAGAUCAGCAAUUUAUGGCUUGUAUGUAGUGACUGUAUAUGUACGUAUCCACAUUCAGGUUACGUUAUUCAAGUUUGUUUUUUUCCUCCUUUUUCAUGAGACAGAGAUUAUAUUCCACCAGAGAAUGGAGUAACGUAUAAAUGCGAGAGGCUUUACACUCAA